rnacentral:rRNA from 1 species
UACGUAGGGGGCAAGCGUUGUCCGGAAUCAUUGGGCGUAAAGCGCGUGUAGGCGGCCCGGUAAGUCCGCUGUGAAAGUCGGGGGCUCAACCCUCGGAUGCCGGUGGAUACUGUCGGGCUAGAGUGCGGGAGAGGCGAGUGGGAUUCCUGGUGUAGCGGUGAAAUGCGCAGAUAUCAGGAGGAACACCAAUUGCGAAGGCAGCUCGCUGGAACGUUACUGACGCUGAGACGCGAAAGCGUGGGGAGCAAACAGG